GGGGAGGUGCCAGAGAGGACGAUUGGGGCCGCCUGCUAAGUGGUUGUCGGGGUAACACUCGACCGUGGGUUCGAAUCCCACCCUCCCCGCCA
rnacentral:tRNA from 2 species